rnacentral:tRNA from 1 species
GCGGGUGUGGCGGAACUGGCAGACGCGCUAGACUUAGGAUCUAGUGCCGCAAGGCGUGGGAGUUCAAAUCUCUUCGCCCGCACCA